rnacentral:snRNA from 1 species
CGAACAGUCUCCACAAAGGAUUU